rnacentral:rRNA from 1 species
ACACACCGCCCGUCACUCUCCCCUAGUCUAAAGAAAUUUAUACUAACAAUAAAUAUCGCCAGCAAAGGGGAGGCAAGUCGUAACAUGGUAAGUGUACCGGAAGGUGUACUUGGAUAAAUCAAAAUAUAGCUAAAUAGAAAAGCAUCUCUUUUAC